rnacentral:rRNA from 1 species
UACGAAGGGGGCGAGCGUUAUUCGGAAUCACUGGGCGUAAAGCGUGCGUAGGCGGUUUUCCAAGUCAGAAGUGAAAGCCCAGGGCUCAACCCUGGAAUUGCUUUUGAAACUGGAAGACUUGAAUUCGGGAGAGGAUAGCGGAAUUCUCAGUGUAGCAGUGAAAUGCGUAGAUAUUGAGAGGAACACCAGUGGCGUAAGCGGCUAUCUGGACCGACAUUGACGCUGAGGCACGAAAGCGUGGGGAUCAAACAGG